GACGAACGCUGGCGGCGUGCUUAACACAUGCAAGUCGAACGGAAAGGCCCUGCUUUUGUUGGGUUCUCGAUUGGCGAACGGGUGAGUAACACGUGAGUAACCUGCCCUUGACUUUGGGAUAACUUCAGGAAACUCGGUCUCAUACCGCAUAUGAGCUCCUGCUGCAUGUUGUUGGUUGGAAAGUUUCGGCGGUUGGGGCUGGACUCGCGGCUUAUCCGCUUGUUGGUGGGGUAGUGGCUUACCAAGGCUGUGACGGGUAGCCGGCCUGAGAGGGUGACCGGAGACAUUGGGACUGAGAGACGGACCAGACGCGUACGGGAGGCAGCGGGGGGGAGUAUGACAGAAUGGGCGGAAGCGAGAGGCAGAAACGCCGCGUGCGGGAUGACGGGCUUCGGGGUGAAAACCGAUGUCGAAGGUGACGAAGAGUGAGUGACGGUAAUGGGUAAAGAAGCACCGGCUAACUACGUG
rnacentral:rRNA from 1 species